rnacentral:rRNA from 1 species
CGUGUAGGCGGUCGGUCAAGUCCGGUGUGAAAGCCCGGGGCUCAGCUCCGGAAGUGCAUCGGAAACUAGCCGACUAGAGCGCGAUAGAGGAGGGUGGAAUUCCUGGUGUAGCGGUGAAAUGCGUAGAUAUCAGGAGGAACACCGGCGGCGAAGGCGGCCCUCUGGAUCGUUGCUGACGCUGAGACGCGAAAGCGUGGGGAGCAAACAGGAUUAGAUACCCUGGUAGUCCACGCUGUAAACGAUGGGUACUAGGUGUUCGGGGUGUUGACCCCUGAGUGCCGACGCUAACGCAUUAAGUACCCCGCCUGGGGACUACGGCCGCAAGGCUAAA